AGCGAACGCUGGCGGCAGGCUUAACACAUGCAAGUCGAACGCCCCGCAAGGGGAGUGGCAGACGGGUGAGUAACACGUGGGAACGUACCCUUUGGUUCGGAAUAACUUGGGGAAACUCAAGCUAAUACCGGAUAAGCCCUUAUGGGGAAAGGUUUACUGCCGAAGGAUCGGCCCGCGUCUGAUUAGCUAGUUGGUGAGAUAAUGGCUCACCAAGGCGACGAUCAGUAGCUGGUCUGAGAGGAUGAUCAGCCACACUGGGACUGAGACACGGCCCAGACUCCUACGGGAGGCAGCAGUGGGGAAUAUUGGACAAUGGGGGCAACCCUGAUCCAGCCAUGCCGCGUGAGUGAUGAAGGCCUUAGGGUUGUAAAGCUCUGUCCUCUGGGACGAAGAAAUGACGGUACCAGAGGAGGAAGCCCCGGCUAACUACGUGCCAGCCGCCGCGGUAA
rnacentral:rRNA from 1 species